rnacentral:rRNA from 1 species
GACGAACGCUGGCGGCGUGGAUUAGGCAUGCAAGUCGGACGGUAGAGCUUUAUCGUAAGAUAGAGUUUGAGAGUGGCGAACGGGUGAGUAACACGUAGGAAUCUACCCUUAAGACGGGGACAACCCAGGGAAACUUGGGCUAAUACCGGAUGAGAGUGCGAGAGAUUGCAUUUAAAAGGAUGGCGAAAGUUGUCGCUUAGGGAUGAGCCUGCGGUCUAUUAGUUAGUUGGUGAGGUAAGAGCUCACCAAGGCGAUGAUAGAUAGGCGGCCUUAACGGGUGGUCGCCCACACUGGGAUUGAGAUACGGCCCAGACUCCUACGGGAGGCAGCAGUCGAGAAUAGUCUACAAUGGUCGGAAGACUGAUAGUGCGACGCCGCGUGAACGAUGAAUCCCUUCGGGGUGUAAAGUUCUUUUAUAUGUGAGCAGUGCUUCUUAUAUUAACAGUAUGGGGAAGAGAUAUUAGCAUAUGAAUAAGCAACGGCUAACUCCGUG